rfam:Chloroflexi bacterium 54-19 SCNpilot_cont_500_bf_scaffold_42, whole genome shotgun sequence.
GCCCAUGUAGCUCAGUCGGUAGAGCACAUUCUUGGUAAGAAUGAGGUCAACAGUUCGAUCCUGUUCAUGGGCU